rnacentral:rRNA from 1 species
GUGGGGAAUCUUAGACAAUGGGGGAAACCCUGAUCUAGCCAUGCCGCGUGAUCGAUGAAGGCCUUAGGGUUGUAAAGAUCUUUCAGCUGGGAAGAUAAUGACGGUACCAGCAGAAGAAGCCCCGGCUAACUCCGUGCCAGCAGCCGCGGUAAUACGGAGGGGGCUAGCGUUAUUCGGAAUUACUGGGCGUAAAGCGCACGUAGGCGGAUCAGAAAGUCAGAGGUGAAAUCCCAGGGCUCAACCUUGGAACGGCCUUUGAAACUCCUGGUCUUGAGUUCGAGAGAGGUGAGUGGAAUUCCGAGUGUAGAGGUGAAAUUCGUAGAGAUUCGGAGGAACACCAGUGGCGAAGGCGGCUCACUGGCUCGAUACUGACGCUGAGGCGCGAAAGCGUGGGGAGCAAACAGGAUUAGAUACCCGUGUAGUCC